UUCAUCUUUAUUGUAAUAAAUAAGAUAACCAGACAACAGUGAAAACAAUGUAACGAACUAACAAAUCUCUUUACGAACCAACAAUCAAUAAUCCUUGUGAACUAACCAACCGACAACUUCCGACUUCACUGCGAACUAACACAAAUUACACUCGACUCCGAACUCUCAACCUU